AACCCUAAUCCCCAAGACCCAAAAGCGGCACUUACUAUUCACCAUUAGAUCUAUGUCCAAACUCAUGCGAGUGAGCUCAAACUCACCUCACGCAUACCCCAUCUCACCACGUCACCGAAUAUUAUCACGGCCUCUGACAAUUGGAAGAUUCCUUCUAGAUUUUUUGUACGUUUUCUUUAGCCUCUCGAUCGAUUUGCUGGAUAAAUGGGGGUCGUGGAUGGAUGAAAAUCAAUCUUUGCCCUCCAUUUGUCCCAAAAAUCAUUCAUAGAAAGGGUUGAAAAGGGAUUUCGGAUGGGAUCUUGGGAGAAGCUUCGAGAUCUUUUUUGAGGUUUAUAUAUAAGGUGAGUUUUCUUUGUAAAAGAGGAGGAAAAAAAUUUCGGGUAAAAAACAUUUUCUAUAGUUCUUGAGUUCCUUUUUGUGAGAUUUCUUCAAGUUUUUUUUCGGCCUUCUUCAGAUAAGACACCAAAAAGCAAAAAUGGUCUGAGUUCGGUUUUCAUUCGAGUUUACCUCAUGUCAAGAGAAAAUCAACAAAAAAAAUGACUAGAAUAGAUUUUUUCAGCAUUUAUUCUUUCUCUUGAUUUCUGGUUCUCAAAAGGAAGCUUGAUUAAAGUUUAAGUUGGAUUUAAGUUUGGCUUUCGAAUUCCAGAGUUGAUUUUGUUUGAGUUCCUAUGAUGAUUUCGUUGUUGUUGUAUUAUCGUCGAAUUUUCAUCUUGGUGAAUCUGUCGCAGAAAUUUUCUUUACAUAUUAAAGGAGAAGCAUUAACAGGUUUAUUUCUGGAUUCUUAGUCAUUUUAUUUGGUGUGAUUAAAGUACAAUGAAGCCAUGGGAAAUUCAUCUCUAGACUAAUACUUAUAUUCUGGUCAUUUGAUGUGUGUUUGUUGUUCGAAAUGUUUAAAAUGUGAAUAGCUGGAAAAUGAAGCUUUCAGAUUACACCUUAGUUUCCGGUUUGGAUCGACUCGUCUCUAGCUCAUUAAUUCCUUGAUCUGUUCACCUUCGCUAGUAUUUGCUUGACGUUUGCAUCAAGUUGCUUCCUUGUUUCAUGUAGAAAUGCACUCUGGUCUUCAUGUUGUAAAAAGUAUGCAUCUGUUGUACUCAUGAAGCAGUUACUUUGAGCAUUUUGGCUGUUUUCUUGAGGUUGUACUUGAAAUAUGUUACUUAAAUCCUAAAACUAAGUCUUGGUAAUUCUUCUUGCGUUCUUAGGAUAGUAAUAGUGUCUGGGUUGAAUCUUAGUGAUCCAUGUAGUAUCAUGUUAUGUUUGAUUUUAAUACUCUGCGCAAAGCUGCAUUGGUUCGUGUUGUAUUGAGUUAGACCCAUGUUAGUUUGUCUUGGUUUCUUCAUGUUAAAUAGUACGAGCAGUAGGAUUCUCUGUUGCCUACAAGAAUUUGUGAAUUUGGUAUGCUGCUCGACGAUUCAUUCUUAUUGGAUCAUGGUCUAAAGUGGUGUUGAAGAUAAAUUAUUUUGCUGAUUGUAUAUAUUCAGAUUUGCUCUAUUUUCUUGCUCUUGUUCGAAAAUUUGUCUGCCUUGUUUCUGCUAUAAGAAUUCUGCUCUUUCGAGCUACUGAAGAAGUCGAUUUAAGCAGUAAUUUGAGCCGAUAAUGUGCAGUAUUUUGGACAUUUGUCCAGACUGUUAUCCCUGCUGAAAAUCUGCCCUGUUUUGCACUGUUUAAGCAGCAGAUUCGCACAGUCUUUUAGUGCAAAUUUUGCACUCUUGGCUCUCAUUGGUUUGGUUGCUGGAUAGUUUAAUAUCUAAUUUAGCUAUGACUGUUAGAUGUGUCAGUUAAGUUUUUCUUCAACCAUUUGCUGAAAAGCUUUGAGAUGUUUAUUCUCACACUCUUGUAUGUUCCUCACCCCAACAGAUUUGCUAGUCAACGGACAAUUUGACUUAAGUAAACCUUGACGAUCAGUGAUCUUUCUCAUCAUCAUGCAAGGUUUAAUUUUUCAGUAGAAGCACUCUUUGUGUGUGAUGUUAUCUUUAUAUACUAUUAACAGUAACCUAUUUUUGAACUUUCCAGCGUGCUAGUUGACUUCUUUUAAUUGGAGUAGGCAUACAUCUGUCAUUUUGAUUCCAUGGAAUUGUGGUCUUAUUUGGG
rnacentral:lncRNA from 1 species